GGGCCCGCACAAGCGGUGGAGCAUGUGGUUUAAUUCGAUGCAACGCGAAGAACCUUACCAAGCCUUGACAUCCUCGGAACUUUCCAGAAAUGGAUUGGUGCCUUCGGGAACCGAGUGACAGGUGCUGCAUGGCUGUCGUCAGCUCGUGUCGUGAGAUGUUGGGUUAAGUCCCGUAACGAGCGCAACCCUUGUCCUUAGUUGCCAGCACUUCGGGUGGGCACUCUAUGGAAACUGCCCGUGAUAAGCGGGAGGAAGGUGUGGAUGACGUCAAGUCCUCAUGGCCCUUACGGGUUGGGCUACACACGUGCUACAAUGGUAGUGACAAUGGGUUAAUCCCAAAAAGCUAUCUCAGUUCGGAUUGUCGUCUGCAACUCGACGGCAUG
rnacentral:rRNA from 1 species